rnacentral:tRNA from 1 species
GGGGUAUUGGUUCAGUUGGCAGAACGUCUGAUUGUCGAUCAGGAGUGCAUGGGUUCGAGUCCCAUAUAUCCCGCCA